UCCACCUUUACCACCUUUAAAGCAAAACAGCCUCCUCAGGCGUAGCCAGCGACUACUAAUGAAGCAGCUGAAGCCUGGCAGAAGCAAUGAACCUGGUGUCUCUGACAAACGAGUCAAGAGACGGAAAGCUCUGAACAUUGACGAUGCCAG